GAUUUAUCUAGAAUGAGUGAAAGAACAAUGUAUAAAAGAAAACAUAGAAGUAUUAAAGCAUCAUUACACAAUGCUAUUUGCCAGGAUGAUGAAAUGCUUGCUAUUGGUAAUUGCCCAUCUGAUAAUGAUUUUGAAUUAUCAAGUGAAUCACAUGCAUGUCUUUUAAGUGCUUUAAAAACAUAUGAUGAGCAAUGUUCAGAACUUCUAGAAGCAGAUAACUUUAAUACUGAUUAUUUAGAAAAUAAAUUGGAACAUUCUUGUACAAAUAAAAAGAAAAGCAAAGGUUUUUUAAUGGAACUUGCUGUGUGGGCUACAGCAACUCAUCAAGCUCGAGAUGCCAUUGCUAGCUUAUUAAAAUUACUUGCUGACAGUGGACACUUUUUGGAUGGUGAAGUACCUGUUGAUCCACGUACAAUUUAUGGCACUCCUAUAAAAAUAAAUGCAGAAAAUAAAUGUGGAGGGUCUUAUGUUUAUUUAGGAUUGAAGGAAUCUUUAUUAUUUGCUCUAAAUGCUAUUGAUGAAAAAUAUAUCAUAUGUUUGAAUAUAAUAAGAAUUGAUGUAAAUAUUGAUGGGUUGCCCUUGACAAAAAGCUCAUCGAAUGAAUUUUGGCCAAUUUUAUGUUCUCUUGUGGAUAUUAAGUGUUCACCAUUUGUUGUAGCUUUAUACUAUGGAAAGAAAAAACCAAAUUCAUCUGCAGAGUAUCUUCUUGAUUUUGUUGCUGAAAUUAAUGACUUAAAAAUUAAUGGUUUUAAAAUAGGCAAAAGAAUAUAUAAAAUUCAUAUUCGAGCUUUUUUAUGUGAUGCCCCGGCAAGAAGUUAUUCAAGGUCAUACUGGAAUAUUCAAGGUCAUACUGGAAAACACAGCUGUGAAAGAUGUACAGUGAUAGGUGUUCAUAAUAGCAACCGUGUAGUAUUUUUGAAUGAUCGGUGUGAAGCUCGAACUGAUGAAGGUUUUCGUAGAAACUUUACACAAAGCAUUACAGUAAAGAUAAAGUAGAAGAUAGUCCUUUAUUGCAAAUAUCUGGACUAAACAUAAUAUCGGAUGUUGCUCUGGACCAUAUGCAUUUAGUGUAUUUAGGAGUUGUACGACGCUUUUUAUAUUUUCUGAUUAUGUCCGGUCGGGCUAAAAUUAGUAUUGCACAACGUAACAUUGUUUCUGAUAGAUUAGUUAGUUAUGCUGAUUUCACUCCUUCUGAAUUUGUUAGAAAACCUCGUUCGUUGUCCGAACUUUAUAGAUGGAAGGCAACAGAACUAAAACAAUUUCUUAUGUAUACUGGUGUUGUUGCACUACGUGGUGUUAUUAGUAAUGAAUUAUACACACUUUUUUUGUCAUUAUCACUUGGUGUUUCAAUUUUAUGCUCCGGGAGUGAUUUAAAAAAUGCCUUGUUAAAUUAUGCUAGGGAUCUUUUGAAAGUGUUUGUAAGAAAUGCAAGUUUUCUUUUUAGUUGUUCAUUUGUAUCGUAUAAUGUUCACAGCCUUAUCCAUUUGCCAGAUGACUGUGAACAUUUCUCAUGCUCAUUAAAUGAAAUCAGCUGCUUCUCAUUUGAAAAUUACCUUCAAGAAUUGAAACGUCUUGUUCGAGAUUCACAUAAAAAUCCUAUUCUAACUGUUUCAAAAAAAAUUUUAAGAGAAAAGACUGUUUUUUGUAAGAAAACCAGAAGAAGAUAGUUUUCCUCAGUUGUCUACCAGAAGGCGUGAUAGAUUCUUUAUGAUUGAUGAUCAAGUGUGUGAAGUUAAACAAGUAAAACCAAAUAAGAAUUUUGUUUGUGACAUUAUAAAGUUAAAUUAUUUGGAAAGCUUUUUUGAACUGCAUGCAGGAAGUAAAAAAUUUAAUAUUUUGUAUUGUCCCAACUUUGCUGUAAUGCAACGCAACUUUGCUUCAAUUUGAACAACAUGACUAUUCGAAAAUUAUACGCGUUACCAUAUAAAGUUAACGACAUGGUCUUUAUUCCACUUCACACUAAUAUUAAAUAAUCACAUGGAUCGCUAUGUUGCAGCAGUGUGGAUUGAAAAGAAGAAGGAAACAGUUGGUGUUAACCCAACCUUGUGGGUGGCUAAUGGCAAAGCUUUUUACCCAUCGAAACCAACUUCAAAGAUUACCGAUAUGAUACGUAAAUGUGUGGCACCAGAAUCAAACUGGUUAGAAUUUCCACUCAUAAAAGUCAAGUAUUCAUGUAAUUCGUACAAUGAAUGUGAGCAUAAUGGCUUGUUGACUACAGAUGACGAUGAAGGCAAACAGAAGAAUGUCAUUAAAAAAAUUAAUCCUUGCAUUAAAUUUGGUGGCAUUGGUUUAGAAGGCUACCCAUAUUUUCCCCCAACCAGCAGCUUAUUAGGGAACAGCAAUACUGAGGUGCAUAACCCUGUUAGAUCUGAAAGCAAUAAAAUUCUUGAAAAAGAAUUUGUAAAUCAAGUUACCCCAAUUGUGUCUUAUCAUGUGGGAAAUAAAGCAGAUUUCACUCAUCAUGUGGACAUUGAAGUUGAAUCAACUUCUCCUUCAAACACAUCAAAAAACAAGGAAAAUGAUUUAUAUUAGUAUAGUUUUAUAAUAUAAAUGAUUUAUAUUAGUAUAGUUUUAUAAAUAUUUAUAUUAGUAUAGUUUUAUAAUAUAAAUGAUUUAUAUUAGUAUAGUUUAUAAAUAUUUAUAUUAGUAUAGAUUUAUAUGUUUUGGACUACACAAGAAGUUUUUCCCUGUUGGCUGACAAUGUCUAAACUUUGUGUAAACUUAUCUUAUAUGUACUGUAUUGCAAUUAUACUAUAAAUGCGUUUCUGUAUUGGGUAAUAUUUUGUCAAACUAAGUUUGCUGUCAAAUAGUAUAGGAUAUGAAUGUAAAAAGUAAAAGGUAUAAAUAUUAAAAUGUAAGCUUUUGUAUUUUUAGAUUUUGUUGAAAAAGUCACAAAAAUAAGAGAUCGAAGCAUUUGUUCAAUAUCUGAUAAUCAGGUCAGAGAGUCCUUUGAAAAACAGCACAAAAAAAGCAUCAUUGAAAAUCGACCUUUAGGGCGUCCAAAGCUGUUAAGACAGGAGGAUUUUCCUGUUGAGAUAGGCAACUUUCAAUAUCGUAUGCUAUAUCUAAUCACCGAUACUAGAAAUGAAAUGAAAAAAUUAAAUAAUAAAGUUAUGUUGAUGCAGAACUACAUAUCUACUAUAAAUGCAGAUGAUGCUGAUUUAAUAAAUAAAGCAGAAACGGUAAUUGAGUUUAAGGAUCUUGAAGGACAUUUACAAAAUACUGACUUCGCAAGGAAAGUUCGUAAAUCUCUAGAAACAAUGUCACUUUCUUGUAGGUCUGCAAAAGAACAUGUUCGAACUAUUAUUAAUUCUGUAAUGUCAUUGCCAUUUCAAGAAAAAGUAAACGUUCUAUAUGGCAAUAAUGUUCCAAAAAAGAAUUAUGUCGACCAUAUAUCUAUGUCACGUGAGUUGCCCUUACUCUUAUCAUGUAUUGUGACUGUCGUUGUUAAAAAAUUCCCAACAAUGUCUGAAAAAAUUGUGAAGAUGGAAAUUUCAGAGUACUUAAAAAAUUCAAAAAAAAGAUAUAGAGUGCAUUUAGAUUGAUAAAACUUUAUUCUCGUAUUUAGAAAGCUGUCUUAUUUUGUUAUUAUUGUUUAGUUUAAAUUGAAUUACAGUCUGCUUUUAGGUUUGAAUAAAUUUACUUGCUGA